rnacentral:rRNA from 1 species
CAAUAGCGUAUAUUUAAGUUGCUGCAGUUAAAAAGCUCGUAGUUGGAUUUCGGGUGGGAAUGGCCGGUCCGCCGUUUCGGUGUGCACUUGCUACGCCCACCUUGCUGCCGGGGACGCGCUCUUGAGUUCACGCUCGGGACACGGAGUCGGCGAGGUUACUUUGAGUAAAUUAGAGUGUUCAAAGCAGGCCUACGCUCUGAAUACAUUAGCAUGGAAUAACACGAUAGGACUCUGGCCUAUCUUGUUGGUCUGUAGGACCGGAGUAAUGAUUAAGAGGGACAGUCGGGGGCAUUCGUAUUUCAUUGUCAGAGGUGAAAUUCUUGGAUUUAUGAAAGACGAACUACUGCGAAAGCAUUUGCCAAGGAUGUUUUCAUUAA